AGUGAACGCUGGCGGUAGGCCUAACACAUGCAAGUCGAACGGCAGCACAGGAGAGCUUGCUCUCUGGGUGGCGAGUGGCGGACGGGUGAGGAAUACAUCGGAAUCUGCCCAGUCGUGGGGGAUAACGUAGGGAAACUUACGCUAAUACCGCAUACGACCUUCGGGUGAAAGAGGGGGAUCGCAAGACCUCUCGCGAUUGGAUGAGCCGAUGUCGGAUUAGCUAGUUGGCGGGUUAAUGGCCCACCAAGGCGACGAUCCGUAGCUGGUCUGAGAGGAUGAUCAGCCACACUGGAACUGAGACACGGUCCAGACUCCUACGGGAGGCAGCAGUGGGGAAUAUUGGACAAUGGGCGCAAGCCUGAUCCAGCCAUACCGCGUGGGUGAAGAAGGCCUUCGGGUUGUAAAGCCCUUUUGUUGGGAAAGAAAUCUUUCAGGCUAAUACCCUGGGAGGAUGACGGUACCCAAAGAAUAAGCACCGGCUAACUUCGUG
rnacentral:rRNA from 1 species